rnacentral:rRNA from 1 species
AGCGAACGCUAGCGGCGGGCUUAACACAUGCAAGUCGAGGGACCCUUCGGGGGACCGGCGAACGGGUGAGUAACACGUAGGUCACGUACCCUUUGGUGGGGGAUAGCCCGGGGAAACCCGGAUUAAUACCGCAUAUGGCGAGAGCUAAAAGUAGCAAUACGCCAGAGGAUCGGCCUGCGGCCCAUUAUUUAAUCCUAGUUGGUGAGGUAACGGCUCACCAAGGGUACGAUGGGUAGCUGGUCUGAGAGGACGAUCAGCCACACUGGGACUGAGACACGGCCCAGACUCCUACGGGAGGCAGCAGUGGGGAAUAUUGGACAAUGGGCGAAAGCCUGAUCCAGCCACGCCGCGUGAGUGAUGAAGGCCUUAGGGUUGUAAAGCUCUGUCGUGAGGGAAGAAGAUCUGACGGUACCUCACAAGAAAGCACCGGCUAACUCCG